AGUGAACGCUGGCGGCAGGCCUAACACAUGCAAGUCGAACGAACCUAUCGGGGUUAUUGGCGGAUGGGUGAGUAACACGUGGGAACGUGCCUUUAUGUUCGGAAUAACUCAGGGAAACUUGUGCUAAUACCGAAUGUGACCUUCGGGGGGAAGAUUAUUUGCCUCUAGAGCGGCCCGCGUCUGAUUAGCUAGUUGGUUGAGUUAAUGGCUCACCAAGGCGACGUUCAGUAGUUGGUCUGUGAGCAUGGUCACAGACAUUGGGAGUGAGACCCGGCCGAAAAUCCUACGGAAAGGAGCAGAGGGGGAUGUUGCACAAUGGGCGGAAGGAUGACGCAGCCAGGCCGGGAAAAUGAUGAAGGUCUGAGGAAAGUAAAAUUCUUUCAACGGGGACGAUAAUGACGGUACCCGGAGAAGAAGCCCCGGCUAACUUCGUG
rnacentral:rRNA from 1 species